rnacentral:snRNA from 1 species
GGAGGGAAGCGGAUGGGG